rnacentral:rRNA from 1 species
GCUAACUCCGUGCCAGCAGCCGCGGUAAUACGGAGGAUCCAAGCGUUAUCCGGAAUCAUUGGGUUUAAAGGGUCCGUAGGCGGUUUGGUAAGUCAGUGGUGAAAGCCCGCAGCUCAACUGUGGAACGGCCAUUGAUACUGCCAGACUUGAAUUACAAGGAAGUAACUAGAAUAUGUAGUGUAGCGGUGAAAUGCUUAGAUAUUACAUGGAAUACCAAUUGCGAAGGCAGGUUACUACUUGUGGAUUGACGCUGAUGGACGAAAGCGUGGGGAGCGAACAGGAUUAGAUACCCCUGUAGUC